GAUGAACGCUGGCGGCGUGCCUAAUACAUGCAAGUCGAGCGAACGGACGAGAAGCUUGCUUCUCUGAAGUUAGCGGCGGACGGGUGAGUAACACGUGGAUAACCUACCUAUAAGACUGGGAUAACUUCGGGAAACCGUAGCUAAUACCGGAUAAUAUUUUGAACCGCAUGGUUCAAAAGUGAAAGACGGUCUUGCUGUCACUUAUAGAUGGAUCCGCGCUGCAUUAGCUAGUUGAUAAGGUAACGGCUUACCAAGGCAACGAUGCAUAGCCGACCUGAGAGGGUGAUCGGCCACACUGGAACUGAGACACGGUCCAGACUCCUACGGGAGGCAGCAGUAGGGAAUCUUCCGCAAUGGGCGAAAGCCUGACGGAGCAACGCCGCGUGAGUGAUGAAGGUCUUCGGAUCGUAAAACUCUGUUAUUAGGGAAGAACAUAUGUGUAAGUAACUGUGCACAUCUUGACGGUACCUAAUCAGAAAGCCACGGCUAACUACGUG
rnacentral:rRNA from 1 species